rnacentral:misc_RNA from 1 species
UUUUAAAGUACAAAAGUAUUAAUCAUAAUACAAUAAAAUAAAAUGUUGCAGAGGUUGAUGUUCAAAUUAUGACCAUCUCUCUAAAUGGUUCAUGCCAAACUCUAACAAUUACAAUCAAACUCAAUCAUUGACUAAAGACAAUCAGACCCAUAACUGAAUAAUUAGAAUAGUAUUGUUUCAGCAAUCAUGAAAACCAUAAAUUCAUACUAUGAUGUUAAAAUAUUAAUUUGAUAAUAUUAUUCACCAACACAAUCUCCCUUUAAGCAAACACUAUGAAACUAUCACACCCAGCUUCUUUGUAUAUGAAUACAAGAAAAUGCCCCCAUUACAUUAUAGCAAGCUUGCAUGAAUUUGCAGAUGCUUCACUAUCAUAAGUUCAAGUGGACCCAACACGUUGUUCAGAGCAUGAAGAAACCAAGGAAAAGAGAGUAACCAAGAAAGGAACCAAUUAGAUGGAAGGAGGAUAAUUGAGUUCGGUUAGAAGAAGAUUUGGGACGAGCACUUCGUGGAGCAAAGCGAGCCCUUCUUUUGAUGUGAAUCCCAAGUUUUCGAGUAUGAAAUGAACCAAGGUCAUUGUCUGCUACUGCUAAUUGUCCACCAUGGUGAUUGAGGACGACGCCUACAUUAGCUGAACUUGGAAGAGAUUGAGACAACAAGAGGAGGCUAAUGACAAGGAAUGAGAAUAUCUGAGCCAUUUUCGCAAGCAAAGUUUGAGUAAGGUUGGAGGAAAG